AUAACUUUCCCUCCAAGGAGUAAGUGUCUUUAGGUGAAAAUAGGCAAGCCAUUUGAGACAGUUCUUCAAAGAGCCACCAGAUAGGUUAAAACAAAAACCACAUUUGAGAAUAAGGUCUGUUCUGCUCCCUCUGAUACCAGGUACACACUGAGAAUGCCAGCCACUGUCUUCAGGCCACUGCAAGCUGGGAAGCAGGAGAUAGUAUUGUACCGUGAGUUCUGAAAGAAGUUUAUUCUCAGCAGUUUUUGCCAGUUCAUUCAUUGCCUUUGUGGAGAACAAACUUUUGGAGUUCCUACUUCUCAGUGUUUGUGAAUGUCAUCUUUCCCGUAUCCCUUUGAAACACACAUCUACACCCCUACAGGACACAGGCUUCUGAGAAUGUACAGGAUCCAGGCCGGACACAGUCCAGGGCCCUAGCCAGCUCCCAGGCUGACGGGAGAGGUGGAUGAACAAGUGGGCGUCCUCUAACUCUCAGAGGUGCGUGCUACAGGACUCCUGUACCAUCGCCACCAACAAGACACCCAGCAGCCGUUCCCGGGGGCUCAGGGGCACCCGCCUGUCCUGGGGCUUCGGAGAUGUUAACCUCCUCAACAGCACGACCAAGUAGGUACUGUCACCUUCUCUUUUUUAAAAUGGUCAACUAACUGGGUCUCAGAGAGGUUAAGUAAUUUACCCCAUGCCACACAACAAGUACAGGCCAGGUUUCUUCCACGACAUCACCUAACAGAGGUAGGAACAGAAGCACAGAAGGCUGGACAGCCACACAGCGUCCACUGGCUGUUCCCAACAGGCCCACGUGCAAGCCAUUUAACAGAGACCUGGGGCAGGAA